UACCUGGCUGAUCCUGCCAGUAGGCAAAUGCUUGC
rnacentral:rRNA from 1 species